UCACCAUCCUCAGCAUGAAAGCAUCUACUAAACCCGUGCUCUGCAACGUAGACAGAUUGUGAGAUCACUGUGUGGAAAAUGAGAACAUUGUCUAAGAAGUAAAGGCAAAGUAGCAUGAAGACAAUAAUAAGUGUUGUACGCUUUGACUGGAGACGUCAACAGCAUAUUUAGAAGAAUGAAGGACGUGGUGUUGCUGGCAAGGUCAACAUUUGUUUUCAGCCUUAAUACAGAGUAAAUGCCUUCUCAUCUCCUCUCUGUUGCUAUUGAACUGAACGGCUAGCCAGUUUAUUUCAGAGGGCAGUGAAGAGUCAACCACAUUGCUACAGGCCAAACCAGAUUUUAUUGGAUUUUAAUAUUACCAUCUAUCACGGAGGGAUUCAAACUAAUAUGGAUCAGAUCAGCCAUGAUCGUAUUGAAUACCAGAAGAGAUUUAAGCUAUUUCAACAUUGGCUUUUCUCAACUCAAUCAUCGUGGCAACCCAUUAAAGGGAAUUGGAAGAAUUUUCUGAAAUUGGCUUCAGGACCACAGGCAAUUUGUCAAAACUUGCCUAAACUCUACUGUUAAUCUCUUAUUGAUGAUCAUGGAGAUAAAGAAUUACAAAUCUAGCUAAUUCCAUAAUUUUUGGCCCUUGUGAAUGUAUUUAACAAAACCAAAAAUUUACAAGCUUCACAUGUUAUUGAAGACAUCACACUUUCAUGCCUUGUGAUGUUUUUCAUUACAGCAAUCAAGUUUUAUUUUAGUGCAAUGUUUUAGCAAGUCCAGCUAUCCCCAUUACAUUCUGAAAUAUGUUGCAUUCUGUAAUGCUUUGAUGAUUUCCAAAUUAUCACCCACGAGACCUGGUGCCACGUGUUGAUCUGCUGUUGUUGGGCUGUAAUUUGAAACCCUUUCAUUAUGUUUAACUACCGCUUAUGCUUUCCUUUAAUCCCCUUUCUGUAAGACUACUUUUCUUUUACUCUGUAAGAUAUAUUCCUAGGUACUUGUACCUUAGAUGGUGUCAUUAAAAGGAAGUCAUUGUAAAAACUUUUCACUGUACUCCUAUUCUUCUGUAUUGUAGUAUAUGUGACAAUAAAGGAUAUUCUAUUCUAUAUUUCAUACUCUUCAGGGAUCUAUUGUCAUGAAAACAGAUGAAAUUAUCUGUAUUUUUAUAAAGCUAUUUCCAUUCUUCUUCUUCUCCCUCCCACAACGUUUCAGUGCAAUCUCUAGUUCUUCGGCUGGCAUGGAGGGAACUUGCUUGGUAGUGAAACUUUGGCCCCGAAGGUUUGGUCGGGAAACCCCAUGGGCACUUAUAUUUGGGCAGGCCAGACAUGCCAAAGGUCUUGCCAGAGGCAUGUUGGCAUGUUGGCCUUCCUCAGUGUCAACUUGCAAGGAUUGGAUGGGGUCAAGUAGCAUAUGGGUUGGACAGCCUACCCACCUCUGGAGUGCCCUGAGUGGAGAUUUCUGAGGGCGCUGUGCAUUAUUCCUUCUCUGGCUGAGUGCCUCAGGGCACUGCCAUGCCUCCUUGGGCGGAAAGGGGCUCCUAGGGAGUGAGCCAGGUUCCCUAUCCCCUGUCGCCAUGCCUUAGGUCCUGAGGACCAUUAGUCGGGAUGAUCAAAGGCCUCUUUAACAGUCUGCAUUGCAGCUGUCAAUGUGUCCAUAGAAACAGCCAGAUGAUGUGACUUGCCACACUGCUGCAGUUCUGGCCAGUAAGGGUCAUUGUGCCCAGUAUCCCUGUCUGCCGCUCUUGUUCAUUCCUGUCUAUGUAGACAAUGUCCCUGACUGGUGACACCAUAGACUACUCUCCUACCCGUGGGGCGGCGCUAGUGCCUCCUCUCUGGUGGUCCUCCCAAGUGCGGCCUGGGGCACUUCUUCAUCGGCCACCUGCCGAACUGUCGCUAUGAAGUGUUCACCAGAUUGUGCCCCCACUCUUUCGAAACCUGACACUCCUAGUGAAGGUGCUAUUAUCUGAGCUGCUGAGGUGAGGUUUGGAAAAGGCAGCCUUGCAAAUGCUUUCUCUGAGAUUUGUCGUCCUCAGGGAUUUAGGAGGUGGUCUGUGGGUGAGUUUGACCACAGAGAGCAUUGAUGUGCUGGCAGUACCUACGAGACAAAAGAGAGAAGGCCAUGGUUAUGAUGGAUAACGUUGACAGUGGGGUUCAUGUGACAAUUGCGGUGGAAUGAAGUGUUGGUGGGACAGAUGUCUCGGUAUCAUCACAGGAGCAAGCCCAGUCUUCUUUGUGGUUUUCAAUUCUCUCCUUAUACGGAUUGUGGAGCAUAAUGUCCAGCAUCCCUCCACUGCAUGGGUUCUCUCUUGCCUGUUAUGGGCCCUCUUCACAUGUAAUGAGAGGAAAGGGGGGAUUAAGUGAGAUGGAAGUGAGUGCAAGAACUGUUGGCCGCAGUGCAAGUGGGCAAAAGGUAACAAAAAAUUCCAGGAGUCAGGAGACAGUGCGGAGGGCUGGUGUGGGAGAAUGGAGUGCAGGUUAGUGAGUGGUGGUUGGGAAGAGGCAGGGUGGAAGGAAGGAUAUUGCAGGCCAUAGCGACAUUGGUAGAGCAUGAACAUUGGUAAGAGGUGGAUGCAGUAGUGGGGAGACAGUAAGGGUGAGGAAGCACAAGCAAAGUCACUGGUUAUCCAGGAUGAGGACACCCCUACUUUGCAUCAACCCCUCAAAAUGAUCUUUCAUUUCCCUGCCAGAGAGUCGUGGUACCAUUAUCUCCUUCUCCAACAAGUUCACAUUCCGUCUGUCAAAGAACAGAACAACUUCAAAAUGCCAGUGCCCAUCCCGCUGCAUAACAGCUUUGUACAGAUGAUAUGGCUAUGAGGAUUACUGAUCUUUCAGUGGAUACCCACUGAGUGACAAGCUUUUCUGGAAUUGUGCAUGGUAAGACGAAGCUGCAAUUAGACAUGACAACACCCUAGGAGUGGUAGUUAAUGGUGUUUUGGUAAGGUGUGGUGAGAAAACUCUCCAAAAACCUGACAAAAACUUGGUCUUAGCCAAAAAUGUGAGAUUCAACUCAAUGAAGUGAGCAGUGGAGAAUUGCUUGAGGACACCCUAGUGCUUAUGGACAGAAAUUUUCUGCAAAACUUCCUUUAGUUGACACUUAGCUGAUAUUUUGAUAAAAUUCCACGCAACAUUUCAAAUUAAAUGGAAAUUACAUCAUCGGUAAAACUGCUUGGGAACAAUUACUGGAGUUGAUGGUGUGGGCAGGAUUACAUCAAUAAUAAGGGAUGUUCAGUCAUUAACUAGGGACUCUUUAGUGAUCACUGUGAUUAACCUCACUUUCUCCCAUCAUCCAGCUCAAAUA